rnacentral:lncRNA from 1 species
UUGGCUCUUCUGUGCCCAUCAAUGCUUACAGCUAUGAUCUCAAUCUCAUCAUCUUCUUCUCUGUUUUCACUAGAGGAUUCCAUUAUGUCAAUUGCUUCGGGAUGUUAUUACACUGGUUCUUCAUUAUCUCCUCCAGGAAUUUCUUUUUCUACUAUUGAGGUGUCAUGAUCCUCCCCCACAGCUUGAUCAUUCUUUUAAAAUGUCG